UGCUUUAGCCAGAGUCAGCACCUGCCAGAGCUAAUCCACCUACCAUCUCAUCUGCCAGAGUUGCCCCUCGCCCUGUCCAGUUUCCCACACCAGAGCCUCCAUCCAUUGUGGAAGCCAUGCCAAUGUCUUCAGUCACCAUGGGCGAAAACCCAGAGUUUCUGAUUGUCAUGGACACCAAAUCAGAGUUCCUGGUCGUCAGGAGUGUUGCAUUUGAAGACAAUAAGGCUUUCUGUUGGCUUUUGAGUUUGUUUUUCCAGUUUGGUGGACCUACCAUUGCGAUUUGUGAGAGCAGCUGAGUUCAGAAGCUCUUGAGUCUUGUGGCAGAAUCAGACCUUUGAAGAUUCAGCUCUGUGUUAAACUUCUAUACAGUUUCAAUUUUCAUGAAAGAAUAUGUAUAUUUUGCCCCUGAAGUUGACAUGAUUAGAUUAAUUGAUUCAAUGAUUGAUUAAAUUUCAAUCAUUUGGGUUUCAGUUUAGAAAUGUUAUGUUUGACUGUUGAUAAUGGUUUAGAUAUGCAAUUAAACAUUAUAACAUUAGUUAGCUCUACAGUUAAUAAUGCACCAUUUGUUACAAGGAUCAAAAGUGCAUUUAGUGUUAUUUUAUGGGAAGUAAUCAGAAGUAACUGCUCAUGUUAUUUGCUUGCUCAUUCUCAGUGGGUUGUUCUGUGGGCUUUUGGUUUUUGAUCAUACUGCAUCCUGUGCAUGCAUAUAUAACAGUUUCAUUUAACAUGGCGACAUCAGCAAAAUCCGGCUAGGACUGAGGAGACAGACAGGGAAGUGACAGAUAAGUUUGUUUUAAUAAAAUAAAUAGCUUAAUAUGAUUUUAUGGCUAUUAUUUGUAAAGCUUGUACUUGGCAUGUAAUAAAUGUGCUGUUAAAAAAAACAAAAAAACAAACAAACAAUAUUUAGUUGCUAAAAUAAAAGUUUGUGACUGCUAAUUCUGUCUAAAAAUAAUUCUCAUAUAAAACAUUUAAUAUAUAGUUAAACAAUAUGAAAGUUGCUUAAUUUAUAAAGUGGAGUAAUUAUUUGUUACAAUUUUAUUUGUCAUCUAUUUUUUAUUCAUAUAAAUUUCAUGCUGCUAGUCUUUGGAGGACUUCCGUUAGAAACCAUUUUGUUCUCAGAUUGACAGUUGUUAUGGUAAGCUACGUGUACAGUAUUUUUAUCAAAACCUUUAUUAUUCAAUUGUUACUAAUAAAGAAGAUAGGAUAAUAUUGAGUAUCUAUUGAAGCUUUUCAUAUAUGUAACAAUGGCAGCAGUGAUACAUUUAGGUUGCUACAAAAAAAAAAAGAAAAAGAUUGUUAGUAACUUCCGUUAGAUGGUGCACCAUUUUUUGUGAGUUGUGGAAAACAGUUGUUAUGGUAGGCUACGUAUACCAUGGUUAAUAUUUUUAUCGUAAUUACUCAAUCAUUACUUUUAAAAAGAUAGGAUAAUAUUGAGCAACUAUUGAAGCUUUUUUUAUAUGUAACAAUGUCAGCAGUGUUAUCAUUUGGGUUGCUACAAAAACGUCGAUUGUUAGCCUAUUAGCCAUGUGGCUUCUGUAAACCGCUGCAUGUCACAUCUGUGAUUAGUCUAGGGUCUAUAAUUUCCUAUUAUUUAAAAAUUCAAUUUUUGUUGCCUUGUUUUUGGCCAAUUGUUCAUCUGUCGAGAUCACUCUUAACCAAUUAACUUGAGGUAUAUAAUGAGGCCUUUUGAAUAUUACAGUUGUGAAUAAAGUUUUAAAAAUGCUUUAUGUACAACCUGUGGUGUGGUGGUUAAAAUUAUGUUUAAAGUUUGGAAACCUACAAGGCCCGAUCCAUGAGUUAUGGUCAAGAUAAACCAAAAAAUUCUUAACCUUAAUUUUUUGUUUUUAGUAAAGUCAAGGCAGGUCUAUGAUAAGUCAUGCAGGUUAAACGUGAAUUUCUUCUUUUGGAGGAGUUCAAGUGUUUAUUAUGAUGGUAAAAUCAUACUCUGGAUUGAGGUCCUGCUAACUAUUUUUACAUUUGUUUUUAGGGUGCUUUACACUGUAUCCCACAACAACCCUCAGUGGGUCAAAUCAAGUCCCCUGUCCAGUGUGUGGAGAAUCCUGAAGGAUCAGGUGGAAUCAUAAUAAAUGACCAGGAGACGUUCUGCAUGAACAAACAACAUCUGGUGGCAGUUCUUCUCUCUAGAGGUGAAAAGACCAGUUCUGUUGUAAUGGCAAGUGAAGACAAGAAAGGAAUGGCCCUAACAUGUCACCCUUUAUACUUCAAAUAAAGAAAACUUACCAUAA